rnacentral:tRNA from 1 species
UAAGAAUUAGUUUAAAAAGAAUUAUUGACUGUUAAUCAAAAGGUUUAUUCUUAAU